rnacentral:rRNA from 1 species
GUAGUCUCGCACAGAUGCAUAUCAAUAAGCGGAGGAAAAGAAACUAACAAGGAUUCCCCUAGUAACGGCGAGUGAAGCGGGAAGAGCUCAAAUUUGAAAUCUUAAAGGUUUUCCCUUGACGAAUUGUAGUUUAAAGAAGUGUUUUCUGUUGAAGGUUUUGGUAAAAGUUCUUUGGAAUAGGACAUCAUAGAGGGUGAGAAUCCCGUAUUUGACCAUUACUUUCAGGCUGUGUGAUACACUUUCAAAGAGUCGGAUUGUUUGGGAAUGCAGUCCAAAAUGGGUGGUAAAUUUCAUCUAAAGCUAAAUAUUGGCGAGAGACCGAUAGCGAACAAGUACCGUGAGGGAAAGAUGAAAAGAACUUUGAAAAGAGAGUUAAACAGUACGUGAAAUUGUCAAAAGGGAAGCGUUUGACACCAGUGUUGUUUUCUCGAAAAUCAAUUAAAAAGAGUUAGAUUUUGUUGUGUAUUGACCUUAACAGCUUGCAUUUCAAUUUUCUUGCUUUUUUAAUGCACUUUUCGUUUAACAAGUCAACAUCAGUUUCUUUUGUUGUAAAAAGGUCAUUGGAAGGUGGCUUUCUUUUCGGAGAAAGUGUUUAUAGCCUUUGACUCCUGCAAUCGGAGAGACUGAGGUCUGCAGCGUAGAUCCUUCGGGGUUAGAUACAUUUGUGCUAAGUUAUAGCUUUUUAUAGACAACUUGUUGACUAUGAUUAGUCUUGUAGCUUACUCGCCUAUGCUAUUUUACCUACGCUUAGGAUGUUGAGCGCAUGUUCUCUCU